UUAUUUAGUUUUUUAUUUUUUAAACAACUGGCUUCCAUUAACCAAGGGUUAAAUAACCGUUACAUCAGUUCAAGAGAACAGCAAAUGCAAUAAUGACAAAGUAAAAGCAACAAUAAAUUACCACAAAGAAAAAACCCCCCAAACAGCCCCUAGAAACCAAAACGACUGUGGAACCCAGAUGAAUAAUCUUCCUGAAUUCUUCCUCACCACUACUGCAUGAAACUAGAUGAACAAACUCAGAGAGAAUCAGCUUUGAUAACCUCCAAGGAGUACCAGAUAAACAUUCCCCAUUCCACAAAGCUAACUAUUGUUACCCAUAUCCCUAUGUAACCACUUAUGCCAGUCAGCAGCCACUAUUCGAUCUACCGCAGCCGGCGCUUCCUCUACCCAGUACAUUGGCUCCGAGAACCGACGUCCUUCACCCGCAAGGACAUGCGCCGCCAUGUUAGCGUCUCUUCUAACAAAUCGGAAGGUAAUCUUCUCAAAACAUCUCACAUAAUCCUUAAUAUCUUGGAUAACUGGGCUCAGUACCGAUCUAUCCGCUGUUUUUGAGUUGAUUUUUUUUUAUUGUUGUUAACGAGUCACCUUCAAUUUGAACAGCUCGGAAACCCAUCUCUACCGCAAAUAUAACCUUCCUUUCACACGCUCGAGCCUCUGCUAUAAACGCGUCAGCUAUACCAAUAUGUAGGUAAGUGCAUGCUCCCAUUAUCUGGCCCGAGUCAUUUCUAGCUAUAGUCCCAGAAAUGGAACCUUUGCUUGCUGCAUGAAACGACGCAUCAAAGUUAAUCUGUAUGCUACCCAUUUCUGGAGGCCUCCAUAAUUCUUGUUUAGCAAUCAACAGUGGUUCCAUCUAGUUUUUAUUUUUAAAAAUAUCAAUUUAAUCGGAUGAUGGUUUUUUUUUAAUUUUAUUUGUAUAAUUAAAAGAUUAGUCUAAUAAAUUACAAUUCAUAAUAAAAUUUUUAACUUCUGAUACCAACUUACUCAAGAAUAUUAUGAAGAUAAAUAUUUAAAAAUUUUGAAUAUAAUUGAUCGCAUCCCAUUUAGAGGAUCUGCUUCAGCCAUUCCAUACCAAACCUCUCCACAACCAAUUAUUAUUAUCAUCCAUUUUCAUGAUAAAGAAAUCCGAUCUGAGGCGGUACGAUAUUAUGAUAAAGCACAAGUGGGCACUUUCUUUUUGACCCAUUGAGAUCGACAUAUAUUUGCCGGAACUUCCCACCGCGGUUCCACUGCCAUUUGAAACAAUUUAAAUGCAUACCAUCAGCUGACAAUGAUUACAUAUCCUAACCGAUUGCCUAUGGGAACAAAGAACCAACCCCAAGGUUUUGAACGUUCAGGACAUCAAUAUCACCCACAGCAUAAUGGAGCAGCCUCUGCUCCAUGAGAAGUCUUCACCCUCACACACCAUUGCUCGAAAACCACUACUAUCAUUUUAUAUUCCUAUAUAAAAGGUCUGAUGCUUUACUGACUUUAGCUUUCCCUCUCCCAAUCAUAUACAAUCAAAGAUGAGCAGAGGUUCUUUUUACAUCCAAAUUUGAUAAAAUGAAAGGUGUGAUGCAAAAGGUUGUGGGGAGGGUAUAAACACAUGCCAAUCACUAACCUCUAAAAUAAAUACAUGUGAAGCGGUUUACAUACGUAUGUAGGAAUGUAUGGGUACUCGCUACAUAUUCAACUAUCAGAUAUGUAGGGCCAUCCAUCAUUAAUUAAUGGGUACAUGCCACAUAUUCAACCCUAAAUGUCACGUACAACUUCGAAUAUAUGGAAAAAAGAAAAGAAUCCAAACACGUUUUGAAGAUUCUUGUGACUGAAGGCGAUAUAAAACCAGUAUUAAUUCCUCUCCUAAAGUUAUUCCAUAACUGAAUAUUCAUUUCUUAAAGAACCUAGCUCUAAUGGCAUGCAAUUUUUUUUAUUAUGUUUUAUUGUUCAUAUUCGAAAUUUAUGAAUACCUAAAUUACGAAUCCUUACAAUUUAGGAAAAAAAACUGAUCAAAGCAACUUGAAAUCUAUGGUAAUUCCAUAUUUGACUAUCAAAAGUAGAAACAACAGCUUAUCUUGUUAUUGUCCAAGAAAUUGAAUAUUUUACAUCCAUAAAGGGCUAAACCAGGAUUAAUCAUAGAAAGAACAGAUAUAGCAAGAAUAAAUCUUACAAAUAAAUAUAAUCCAUAUUACUAAAAUGUUUAACAAAUACCUAAUUUUUAACUUUGUUCACAACCCAAUAAAGUUUCAGUCAUAACAAGAAAAUUGUAAGAAGGGGAAAAAAGCCUCUAAAUUCUGACCAGGGCGAGAAAAUUUUCUUUCUUUAUCCGACCACUGGUAACUGAAUAAAAUCCCCCACCAACCUAACCAUGUACAAAAAAAAAAAAAACCUGUAAUGCCGCAAUUUUUCACCUUUUUAAGGCUUAACGCUUACCUGAACUUGGAAUUUAUCAGAAGCCUCGCCAUUUUGGGCUCGGAACUGGUACCGUCGGCGACAGCGAGAAUUCUAAUUGACUUGAAUUCGGAGAAAAUAGCAAACUUGGG
rnacentral:lncRNA from 1 species